AGGGUUGUCAUCAGAAUCAUACUCUAAAAUUCCAAAAGCAAUGGUUAAAUAAAACACAAGCUCAAGAAGAAUAAAAGAAGCUACUUAGAGAGGGAAAAGUCUUUGGUUCUUCAAAAGCAUCAAUAUGUUAUAUACAGAAAUUAGAAGUAAGAUAUUGCAGAAGACAUCAAGGCAACCCAAUAAAUUUUAAUUGUUCAAAUAAACCUUCCAAAACAGGGACAUGCAGACCCUUCCACAAUCACUCACACAUACACAGUUAACAAGAAAACUAGUGCAACAAUAUGCCACAUCCAAAGCAGUCCAUACUCCAUACCCAAGACAACUGAAUAUUAAAGCAAAUACAAAAGGAAGAGAAAACUAGUGAUGCUAUAGCACAAAGACAAUGGAAUUAAGCUUAUCAUCCAAUUAUUGAAAUAUUUUAUACAUAAGUUUGAUAUAUACUUUGGCAUUAUCUACAAGGAUGUAAGCAUGCCUUAAGGUCCUAAAUUCAUAUGAUCUGUCUCAUAAAUAGGGCAUUCAUCAUUUAUAACAUUGUGUUUCGAGGUUCAAGGUUCAGAAAAUGAAAUGCACAACGCCAUAGAGCUUAGAACAAAUGUCAGGUUUUAUGAGAAGGUAAAAAGUUUUCCUGCAAAAUCUCUCUUUCACAGUUAUACAUACUCCACAAGGUA
rnacentral:misc_RNA from 1 species